rnacentral:rRNA from 1 species
GCCGUUAAGUCUUGACGAGUAAGAGGGUCGCGACGGUGAGCGCAGAAGGGUCAGGGCGAGAGCCUGCCUGGAGCCGCCGUUGGUGCAGAUCUUGGUGGUAGUAGCAAAUACUCUAGCGAGGGCCUGGAGGACUGACGUGGAGAAGGGUUUCUUGUGAACAGCCGUUGCACAAGAGUCAGUCGACCCUGAGCCCUAGGAGAAAUCCGAUGACGAUGGGUGGCUUGACAACAACAAUCCACAGACUGUUUUUAGCGUAGACUCUGUUGUCGUGUGUUUGCUGCUUGUAUACACACACUACUUGCCAGUAGUUGUGUUGUGGCUGCACUGACCAAAAGUUGACACUAAACAGCUCCUAUCGGGCAAAAGGGAAUCCGGUUCCUAUUCCGGAACCCGGCUGCGUAACCGCUACUUUGCGGGCACUUGCUUGCGAGCGCUCGUCGGGGUAACCCAAACUGGCCUGGAGACGCCGGCGGGGGGUCUGGAAAGAGUUUUCUUUUCUUUAUAAGCGUUCGAGUACCCUGGAAUCCUAUAGCAGGGAGAUAGGGUUUGGAACGCGAAGAGCACCGCAGUUGCGGCGGUGUUCGGACCUUCCCCCCGGACCUUGAAAAUCCAGGUGAGGGCCACGCGGAAGUCGCGCCGG